rnacentral:rRNA from 1 species
UACGUAGGGACCAAGCGUUGUUCGGAUUUACUGGGCGUAAAGGGCGCGUAGGCGGCGUGUCAAGUCAAUUGUGAAAUCUCCGAGCUUAACUCGGAACGGUCAAUUGAUACUGAUGUGCUAGAGUGCAGAAGGGGCAAUCGGAAUUCUUGGUGUAGCGGUGAAAUGCGUAGAUAUCAAGAGGAACACCUGAGGUGAAGACGGGUUGCUGGGCUGACACUGACGCUGAGGCGCGAAAGCCAGGGGAGCAAACGGGG